rnacentral:rRNA from 1 species
AUUGAACGCUGGCGGCAGGCCUAACACAUGCAAGUCGAACGAGUGGCGGACGGGUGAGUAAUGUCUGGGGAACUGCCCGAUGGAGGGGGAUAACUACUGGAAACGGUAGCUAAUACCGCCUACCAUCGGAUGUGCCCAUAGGGGAUGAGCUUGUAGGGGAGGUAAUGGCUCAACUAGGCGACGAUCCCUAGCUGGUCGGAGAGGAUGACCAGUCACACUGGAAGUGAGACACGGCCCAGACUCCUACGGGGGGCAGCAGUGGGGAAUAUUGCACAAUGGGCGGAAGCCUGAGGCAGCCAUGCCGCGUGUAUGAAGAAGGCCUUAGGGUUGUAAAUUACUUUCAGUCGGGAGGCGUUACCGGCAGAAGAAGCACCGGCUAACUCCGUGCCAGCAGCCGCGGUAAUUC